rnacentral:sRNA from 1 species
UUAAAAUGAUGAGCUCAUUUUAUCAGUGUUUGUGAGAAAAAUGAGAGAGGGCAAAUCAUUCUCAACAA